CCUGCCCCAGAGUUAUUGCAAGUAUGGCUGCUUUGUCACGUGUGCAUCAGGAGGUGGCAGAGAGGAGAGAGGCUCUGCUAUACUCAGUGUUCUAACCUAUGAACAUCUGAAUAAUUAGGAGCUUAACCUU